GGAUUAGAUACCCUGGUAGUCCACGCAGUAAACGAUGAGUACUAGAUGGUGGCGGCCAUGAGCUGUUAUUGUCGGAGCUAACGCAUUAAGUACUCCGCCUGGGGAUUACGGUCGCAAGAUUAAAACUCAAAGGAAUUGACGGGGGCCCGCACAAGCGGUGGAGCAUGUGGUUUAAUUCGAUGCAACGCGAAGAACCUUACCUACUCUUGACAUCCCGGAGAGCUUUCUGAGAGGAGAGUGUGCCCGCGAGGGAAUCCGGUGACAGGUGCUGCAUGGCUGUCGUCAGCUCGUGCCG
rnacentral:rRNA from 1 species